CCUACGGGAGGCAGCAGUGAGGAAUAUUGGUCAAUGGUCGAGAGUCUGAACCAGCCAAGCCGCGUGAAGGAUGACUGUACAAAGUAUCGUAAACCUCUUUUAUCAGGGAAUAAAACCUGGCACGCGUGCCCUGUUGCGUGUACCUUAUGAAAAAGCAUCGGCUAACUCCGUGCCAGCAGCCGCGGUAAUACGGAGGAUUCGAGCGUUAUCCGGAUUUAUUGGGUUUAAAGGGUGCGUAGAUGGGAUGUUAAGUCAGGUGUGAAAGUUCGGGGCUCAACCCCAGAAUUGCCUUUGAUACUGGUGUUCUUGAGUAGAGGUGAAGUAGGCGGAAUGCGUGGUGUAGCGGUGAAAUGCUUAGAUAUCACGAAGAACCCCGAUUGCGAAGGCAGCAUACUAA
rnacentral:rRNA from 1 species